rfam:Nematostella vectensis strain CH2 x CH6 NEMVEscaffold_39_Cont6455, whole genome shotgun sequence.
GCCCCUGUGGCGCAAUGGACUAGCGUGUUGGACUUUUAAUUCAAAGGUUGUGGGUUCGAGUUUCACCAGGGGUG